AACGAACGCUGGCGGCAUGCCUAACACAUGCAAGUCGAACGAUUGCCUUCGGGUGAUAGUGGCGCACGGGUGCGUAACGCGUGGGAAUCUGCCCUUAGGUUCGGAAUAACAGCUGGAAACGGCUGCUAAUACCGGAUGAUAUCGCGAGAUCAAAGAUUUAUCGCCUGAGGAUGAGCCUGCGUUGGAUUAGGUAGUUGGUGGGGUAAAGGCCUACCAAGCCGACGAUCCAUAGCUGGUCUGAGAGGAUGAUCAGCCACACUGGGACUGAGACACGGCCCAGACUCCUACGGGAGGCAGCAGUGGGGAAUAUUGGACAAUGGGCGCAAGCCUGAUCCAGCAAUGCCGCGUGAGUGAUGAAGGCCCUAGGGUUGUAAAGCUCUUUUACCCGGGAAGAUAAUGACUGUACCGGGAGAAUAAGCCCCGGCUAACUCCGU
rnacentral:rRNA from 1 species